GGAUGUUUCUUUCCUAUUGGAUGUUUGUGGUUCUUCGUGAUGUACGCAGGUUUCAACUCACCAUGCCAUUGGUACGAGCUACAGCUACCACGCCCUCGGCAGUUUAAAAAUCAUCUAGUUUCGUCAAAACCACUGUGAGUCAAGAGUUGGAAUUACGAGUAUUGAAAACGAUCAGGAUAGAGUAUUGUAGCAUCUACCGUAUUUAGCAUAGCAUUUAUAUAGUUAUUUAGUAUAUUUUGUAUAGCCUAUUUAGUUAGUAGCAUAGAGUUAGGAUAGCUUCAAGUUAGCAUAGAUUCAUCUGUGUUUCAGGUACAGUGAUCAGGAUGGUAACGGACAUGCACCACACAGCUCGCGCUCAAAAGCGAUGCAGUGCACACUGCUCCUCCUGCAUGGACUCCACCACCGCAGCGGCGUCUUGAUGAGGAGAAGAAGCAAGCAGGAGGAAUUACUCCAGGAGAAACUACGGACAUACUAUUGUAAAGAUGGAGAUUAAGGAAGAACCCUGCAGAAUAAAAGUUGAAGAUACAGAGGAACAAAUAGAUCUGAUGGAAGUGAAUGAGAACAAACAGCAUCAGUUUCAAAAAACGCUUUAUUCCACAAAUGAAGAUGGAAAUGCAGUCGUUUUAAAGACUGAAGAGAAUUUCACACAGAAACAAGCUGGAAAAUCUGGAGUCAAAGGAUCUUUAACCUGUUCUGAGUGUGGAAAGAGAUUCCGAUAUAAAUCAUUUCUGAAUAAACACAUGAUGAUUCACACUGGAGAAAAGCCUUUUACAUGCACUCAGUGUGGAAAGAGUUUCUCUCAGAAAGGCUCUCUCAAAGAUCAUCUGCGCCGUCACUCUGGAGUGAGAUCAUUCGGUUGUGAUCAGUGUGAUAAAACAUUUUUUUUUGGAUCAGACUUAAGAAAACACCUUAAUGUUCAUUCUGCUGCAAAAACUCACUUUUGUUCUGUUUGUGGAAAGUGUUUUUCACGACUACAUUCUUUAAAAGUGCAUGAGCGUCUUCAUACUGGUGUGAAACCUUAUGUGUGCUUUGACUGUGGAAAGACCUACAAUUAAUCCAGCAAUUUAAAAACACACCAGAGAGUUCACACUGAAAAGAAACCGUAAAAGUGUUCACACUGUGAAAAGAGUUUCUCUCAUUCAGGAAACCUGAAUACUCACGAGAGAGUUCAUACUGGAGAGAAAUCACACCAGUCCUCUUCAUGUGGGAAUUGUUUCACCAAAUUUUCUAAUCUACUGAAACAUGAGAAAAAGAAUUGCCUGAAGGUGUG